UAACAUGGGUUUCCAAUGGAGUUUUCUUUCAAAUCCUCUCAAACUUCUUUAAACUUCUUCAACUUCCAAAUCCUUCUUCUUCCUCAAUCUUUCAGCUAGAGCCACCAUUUAAACUUUAAAAUGUUGACAAAACCCUAAACUAUUUUUAGAUAAUUCAGCUUUUUGAUAUCUAUUCACCUUUUUUCAAUAUCACUGAUUAUGUUUCAUGACUUUUUCAAGCCGUUUCUGAGAUUUACAUGGGUGUUUACGUGAAACCCUAGAGUGCAGACUGAAAUGCUUAGAGUGGAGGGCAGCUUCGGAUGUCGUUGAAAAAAUAUUUAUAGUUUGCCAGCAUUGCCACAAUUUUUGCUCUUCAUGCUUCAUUUUUGGAUCAAUAGAUAGCUAAUUUUGUGCUGGUCGUAGACAGUUGUCUGUUAAAUCCAACAGACGUACACAUUUGUUCAGAGCCCCACGAAAGCGAGACAAAGUCCAACUCUCGCCCCAUAGAGACCAAUGCAAAUCUGGUGACAAAAUCAUCAGAGAAAGCAAAAAGAACAAGAUUUUGAAACUGCCGGUAGAGUCGUCUUUCUGACCGCGCAGACAUAUAAAGGACAUCUCUGGUUUCGGCAGAGGCUUGGGUCUCGGAAAAUAUCCUUAUUUUUUGGAUUGGACGUAUAGUUUUGCUUCUAGGUUAACUUGUUUGAGGUUUGGAUUCUAGCUUCAUUUCCGUUAUUCUCUCAGCACGUUAGCCAUCAUAGCUGCACCAUCACCGUGGCAACCACACAAUCACGCGCCACUCAGUCUCUUACACAGGUGAUUGGUAUUAGCUGAUUAGUCAGCUGAGUCACAAGACUGAGCUAUUCAGUCAACUCGUCUGCGCAUCAUUCCGUCCUGACGUCUUCUCUGGCUGACUCUGAAGAACCAUCACUGCUGGUGACUCCUAGGUGACUUCACAGUGUCCUGCUGUCCAGCAUCUCUCCUCUAUCACAUUGGCUCUCUAUCUCUCCUGUACCUUGUAUCCACUCUGUCUACACGUUGGCUCUCUGUCUCUCCUGUCACAUCUACCGCUCUGUCUUUUGCAUUUGGCAACUCACACUUUGUAUCCCCCUCUAUCCCACUCUGAUGUUGGUAAUCUUUGGCAAAUGAAUGGAACAAACUCUGGAGCCCUUUUUCUGAACUGAAUUUUGGACUAAACCUUGGUCACAAGGACCUGUCUGUUGGUUUGACUUGGGUUACCGGUACCCGAUCUAUCUGAUUUGAAUAAUCUGAGAGGCUUUCUUCUCUCACCCUCACCUCUUACCUCUCCUGUCUACAACUCAUACACUUAAAACACUUGCUGUUUUUACAACUUAGACUAAGCAUUUAUGCUAUUUCUGAGACUUUUUCCAACACAAUUGGUUUGAACAAAACUGAAAAGUUAAUUCAGAAACCGUAAAAGACAACACAUAACAUACACAUUUUGUUGUAAUUGAUUAUUGACAAGCUACAUUUCCAAAUGUAUAAUUUCUUAUGAAAGUUCAUCAUUAAAUUAACAUAAUUCAAGCUCUUGUUACUUCACAUAAAAAGCAAUUGUAGUAAAAGUCUAUAUUAUAAAAUAAGUUAAUUUCCUGAUCGUUGUUGCUUUGGAGAUCUGCUGUUCGUACCUAAAGUUUGGUUUGGUAGCAGAUAUCUUCGCUCUACAACUAACGUACAUUAUUUCAAUCAUUCACUGUAUAUGUGUGUUUAGUUGAUUUACUUUGUUCAUACUGAAAUAAAACAAAGCCAUCUAUAAGGAGGACGUGGAUUUGCCACGACAUCUCUUCCUGAUUUACAAUAUAAAACACUAGUAUUAUUAAGUUACUCUCUGCUGGUAAGUGCAAACAGUUGAGGAUCAGAUCACUGCUGAUAUUAGAUAACUGGUUGUGGAUUGAUGGAAAAUAUCUUCUUUAGUGUAAUUUAUACAAAACAGAUUGUGAUAUAAGUGGCUCGCUGUUAUAAACAAUUGGAAGCAACAUAGUUUGUUCAGUUGUGUGUCAGUGUCAAACUUUAGUUUUUACAUUGAGUACAUGAAAAAAUGUCCAGGUUUCUUUGAGAAAUAUCUUUUACAUAUUCAAUAUAAUCUGUUCCUUUAUUGAACCCCUUAUUCACGUACACUGCCCAGAAUAGACCCGAUCACAGUAUUUAUAGAAGUGCUUUGUUAAAAUUGUCAUAUACUGUAAUAAGGGUUCUUUUAUUUGUGUAUAAAAGCCUUAAUAUAAUACGUCUAAGGAAUAUAUACUGUCACUGAAUUUGACAUUCCAAGCAUUUGAUUAACAAGAACUAAAAUAUAUAAAUACCAUAGAGCACACACUUCACAUUUAUAUCCACAGACCAAGCCUUCUAGAGCAAC